GUCUAAGGCCAUGCCACCCCGAAUGUGCCCGAUCUCAUCUGAUCUCAGAAGCUAAGCCGGGUUGGGCCUGGUUAGUACUUGGAUGGGAGACCACCUAGAAAUACCAGGUGCUAUAGGCA
rnacentral:rRNA from 1 species